GUUGGAUUAUUGCAAGAGGUGGCUUUGUUUAAGGAACAAUGUCAACAUAAGAGACAAAUAGAAGAGAGACAUAAGAAGGCCAUGGAAAAAGAAUGAGAGAGUGGUCUUAUGUUCUGUUUUGGGAUAAGAGUUUCGGAACCAAACUAUAGUUUCAAGACAAAGGCAACAACAUAAUAAGGAUAUUAUGAUUAAUGUGGCCUCUUAAAAUUAUUACACAAAAUAUGGCACUUGCCAUGUUUCUCGAAAGAGGUAGUCACGGGCAUCACGGCUCUGGUUCCAGCUAAGAUAUACGUAUGUCCCUUAAGAGUGGCCAUCAAUGGUGUGGUCAUUAGUGGGUUAGCUAACCACUAAGCUAUUAGCUUUGUCACAAACCACAAGUACUCUUCAAAAGUCUUUUAGUUCGGUUAGAGAAUGUUGAAGAAGUUGUAUGUACAAGAUUAUACUAGAAAAACUAUAGCUUCCAAACUCAUGUAAAAAAAAUUCAGAUUCACGAUGGUCCAGACUAACAAACAUUUUUAUUUUUUUUUAUAAAUCCUUUUGGCUGCAUACUGUAAAGCAAUUGGGUUUUGGCUCAAUUAACGUACUUCCCACACAACCAUAAUUUUUGUUUUCAGGAUAGAUCGAACCUGGGUUAAUUCCUUCCAACAUUUUUCUAAUUCUCUCUUACCACUAGACCACGGCUGUGCGGGCACUAACAAACAUUAUUCAUCUAAACAUGUUUAUAAUCUUGCUUAUUCUUCCCUUAAUGUUUUUCAUGAAUUCCAACUAUGAUACAUAUACUAUUUCUUGAAAAUAAUCAUCGUAGGUGUUAGCGGUUUAGCAACCACUAAACACUAAUCUUGUCUCAAACUAAUGUGGCUUGCACAGUUGCAUGGCAGCAAUGGUCGGUCAUCUAUAUAUCACCCCGAGUGGCCUCACAUUGUGCUAUGAGUACGAUCGUAUCUUUGCAACGUUUAGUCCUUUUUGUUUAUCUUGUAGUUAUUAUGGAUCUGAGUCGAGUUUUAAAGCUUGGAUAUUGUCUACUUUGAAAACAUGUUUAAUUUAUCUUUCCUCUUAUGUAAGUUUAUUGGUGUGUUUGGCUUACAAGGAUAACUUGUAAUCAUUUAAAAUC
rnacentral:lncRNA from 1 species